GAUCCUGGCUCAGAACGAACGCUGGCGGCAGGCCUAACACAUGCAAGUCGAGCGCGCCCUUCGGGGUGAGCGGCGGACGGGUUAGUAACGCGUGGGAACGUACCCUUUGGUAGGGAAUAGCCACUGGAAACGGUGAGUAAUACCCUAUGAGCCCUUCGGGGGAAAGAUUUAUCGCCAAAGGAUCGGCCCGCGUUAGAUUAGGUAGUUGGUGGGGUAAUGGCCUACCAAGCCUACGAUCUAUAGCUGGUUUUAGAGGAUGAUCAGCAACACUGGGACUGAGACACGGCCCAGACUCCUACGGGAGGCAGCAGUGGGGAAUCUUGGACAAUGGGGGCAACCCUGAUCCCAGCCAUGCCGCGUGAGUGAAGAAGGCCUUAGGGUCGUAAAGCUCUUUCGCCUGUGAAGAUAAUGACGGUAGCAGGUAAAGAAACCCCGGCUAACUCCGUGCCAGCAGCAGC
rnacentral:rRNA from 1 species